UCCCUGGUGGUCCAGUGGUUAAGACUCCGAGCUUCCAAUUCAGGGGGGUGCAGGUUCAAUCCCUGUUCAAGGAA
rnacentral:tRNA from 1 species